UAUGUCGGGGCACAAAACUGAUAUGAGUUUCUUCCACAUUACAAUUACUGCACUUAGCAGUUACUAGCACUAAGUGUUAAGCGUUCCAUAAUUUCCAAUCAUUCAGGUGUGGCCGAUUGAGGGUAUCAAGAAGUUCGAGACCCUGUCUUACUUGCCACCCCUCACCACGGAGGCCCUCCUGAAGCAGGUUGACUACCUGAUCCGCUCCAAGUGGGUGCCCUGCCUCGAGUUCAGCAAGGUUGGCUUCGUCUUCCGUGAGCACAACAGCUCCCCCGGGUACUACGACGGCCGAUACUGGACAAUGUGGAAGCUGCCUAUGUUUGGGUGCACCGACGCUACACAGGUGCUUAACGAGGUGGAGGAGGUCAAGAAGGAGUACCCUGACGCUUACGUACGUAUCAUCGGCUUCGACAACCUGCGGCAGGUGCAGUGCGUCAGCUUCAUCGCCUUCAGGCCACCGGGUUGCGAGGAGUCCGGCAAGGCAUAAACUACGAGGUGAAAGAAUGGCCUAUGUCGUAUGAAGGUCNGCAAGGCUGGAAAAAGGAUUUGUGGCAAUCACACAUUGACAUGGACGACUGAAAUUUUCGGCACACACAACGCAUCCAACGGCCAUGCCUCUUACACUAAUCCGGAGAGAUAAGGAAACCAGGCAACCAACAAACGCCAGCCACCCCUUCCACAUCUUGAUUAAAGAUAGGAGCUCACAUGGCUAUAUAUACCGUGCUGAACAGGCAAUGGGGGCCUCAAGUGUAGCCGGCAUCCUCCUCUCUACAGUUAAUACAGUACCAUGGCCCCCGCCGUGAUGGCUUCGUCGGCUACCACCGUCGCACCCUUCCAGGGGCUCAAGUCCACAGCUGGUCUCCCUGUCAGCCGCCGCUCCAGCGCCAGCCUCGGCAGCGUCAGCAAUGGCGGAAGGAUCAGGUGCAUGCAGGUAUGUCGGGGCACAAAACUGAUAUGAGUUUCUUCCACAUUACAAUUACUGCACUUAGCAGUUACUAGCACUAAGUGUUAAGCGUUCCAUAAUUUCCAAUCAUUCAGGUGUGGCCGAUUGAGGGUAUCAAGAAGUUCGAGACCCUGUCUUACUUGCCACCCCUCACCACGGAGGCCCUCCUGAAGCAGGUUGACUAC
rnacentral:lncRNA from 1 species